GAUGAACGCUGGCGGCGUGCCUAAUACAUGCAAGUCGAGCGAACAGAUGAGGAGCUUGCUCCUCUGACGUUAGCGGCGGACGGGUGAGUAACACGUGGAUAACCUACCUAUAAGACUGGGAUAACUUCGGGAAACCGGAGCUAAUACCGGAUAAUAUAUUGACCCGCAUGGUUCAAUAGUGAAAGACGGUUUUGCUGUCACUUAUAGAUGGAUCCGCGCCGCAUUAGCUAGUUGGUAAGGUAACGGCUUACCAAGGCAACGAUGCGUAGCCGACCUGAGAGGGCGAUCGCCCACACUGGAACUGAGACACGGUCCAGACUCCUACGGGAGGCAGCAGUAGGGAAUCUUCCGCAAGGGGCGAAAGCCUGACGGAGCAACGCCGCGUGAGUGAUGAAGGUCUUCGGAUCGUAAAACUCUGUUAUUAGGGAAGAACAAAUGUGUAAGUAACUAUGCACGUCUUGACGGUACCUAAUCAGAAAGCCACGGCUAACUACGUG
rnacentral:rRNA from 1 species